rnacentral:tRNA from 1 species
CGUAGCUCAGCAGGAUAGAGCAACUGCCUUCUAAGCAGUAGGUUGGGGGUUCGAGUCCCUC